rnacentral:rRNA from 1 species
UACGGAGGGGGCUAGCGUUGUUCGGAAUUACUGGGCGUAAAGCGCACGUAGGCGGCUUUGUAAGUUAGAGGUGAAAGCCCGGGGCUCAACUCCGGAAUUGCCUUUAAGACUGCAUCGCUAGAAUUGUGGAGAGGUAAGUGGAAUUCCGAGUGUAGAGGUGAAAUUCGUAGAUAUUCGGAAGAACACCAGUGGCGAAGGCGACUUACUGGACCAAUACUGACACUCAAGUGCGAAAGCGUGGGGAGCAAACAGG